UGUGGAUUGGAUGAUGGAAAAACCAGCAAGCUACGGCUUCAAAGCUUACCUUAUUUAGAAAAGGAGAAAGGGGUUUUUUGUAGAUGUUGAAGUUGAGUAAGGGGGCGGAGCUUAAAGAGUAAAGCGAUCCAUCCUAGCCUAGCAAUGUUUUUCAGUAGCAAGCUAUGGUAUAACAACCCCCUAACCUAGGUUAGGGCAAAAACUCUAAAAUCCAAAACGUUGGUUAGGGUUUCUCUCCUUUUAGGAGAGCUACUUCAUUCCAAACCUUUCUCUAAUAAUAAGGUAAGCUUUCAAGCCACCGCCCUUUAAAGGAGAGGGCGCAGUGAACUGUAAUUGUGAAAAGAUUGGAAGAUCUAGCCAAAGAAGGUGAUAGCCCUAUAGAUUCGUUCCCAUGGUUCAUUCCUUCCCAGUAAAAUGCGGCGUGUUUGAAUUCUGAUCGCUUUUACAAGAGAAAGGGGGACCACCCUCUAAGCCUAAGUAUUCCUCAAUGACCGAUAGCGUACAAGUAUUGUGAGGGAAAAUUGAAAAGAACCCUUAGAGCCUUUACGUUAUGUAAAGCGCACUCACUCUAACAGUGUACCUUUUGCAUGAUGGGUCAAUGAGGAAAUGGGAACAGUAGCUUAAGCCCUUAGGUGUAGGCGCUUUCCAGAGGUGGAAUCUUCUAGUUCUUCCUAUUUGACCCAAAACCGAUCGAUCUAUCCAUGAGCAGGUUGAAGAGAGCUCCAACAGGCCUUGGAGGACCGAACCCACGUAUGUGGCAAAAUACGGGGAUGACUUGUGGCUAGGGGUGAAAGGACAACCAAGAUUGGAUAUAGCUGGUUUUCCACAAAAUCUAUUUCAGUAGAGCGUAUAAUGUCGAUGGCCCGAGGUAUAGCACUCAAUGGGAUAGGGUGGCCUCAUUUUGCCUUACCAACCCCCGGGAAACUUCGAAUACAGGCCUAGAUCGUUUGUACAGAUAAACUUUUUGUUUGCUAAGAUCCAAAGUUGAGAGGGAAACAACCCAGAUCGUACGCUAAGGUCCCUAAGCAAUCACUUAGUGAAAAAGAAAGUGAUCGAGCGAUGACAACUAGGAGGUGGGCUUGGAAGAAGCCAUUCUUUGAAAAAAGUGCAAUAGCUCACUUGUCUAGCUCCAUGGCACCAAAAAUGUAUCAGGGGUCAAGUGAUUCACCGAAGCGACGAGACCUUGUAAGUUGCUUUCACAAAUGUCAGUAGCGGAAUGUUCUGUCAAUUGGGGAAGGUUUUUGGUGACAAGACCCAGAGAUAUCAAAAGUGAGAAUGCUGACAUGAGUAAUAAAAAAUACUGUUAAAAACAUGAUCGCCUUCUAGUGGAAGGUUUUUUUCCUUCAGUCAAUCUACGCAGAGUGAAUCGGUCCCUAAGGAAUCCCCGAAAAGGCCUAGUCCGAUAGGUACACGAAAGUGACAAAGUUGCUUUGACUACAGAACCAUGCCUGUCUAUUGGAGCAAAUUGGAUGAUCGGGACAAGGGCUGCCCCCUCUUCCCCUCACUCUCUUUUCCCUAAUAUGAACCUUGAGUCAUCAAAGCCUUUCUGACUCGGCCUGGCCCGGUCGCCCUACGCAACUAGCGCUUCAUAAGGUGAAAGUAUCAGUCGUAGUUUGGCGACCUAUCUUCAGUAGUGUCCUUUAGUCUUUUGAUUAGAGUAGGGGUCGCGAGAGAGCAGAGCGUACCGCCCUGCCAAAGUCACUAGUCAUUUAUAGUCGCGACUGUUGUCAUAGUCAACAGGGUUGAAACUUCCAAGAAAAAACUUCGAAUUAGGAGGGCGAUCCUCCCAGUGAACUGACCGUACCCCAAACCGACACAGGUGAACAAGUAGAGUAUACUAGGGCGCUUGAGAGAACCAUGUCAAAGGAACUCAGCAAAUUGACCCUGUAACUUCGGGAGAAGGGGUGCUCUCCUAUCUUUUGAUUAGGACAGCGGCACAUACCAGGGGGUAGCGACUGUUUAUUAAAAACACAGGACUAUGCUAAGUGGUAACACGAUGUAUAGAGUCUAACACCUGCCUGGUGCUGGAAGGUCAGAAGGAGAAGUGUUAUAAGCUUUAAAUGGAAGCCCCGAUAAACGGUGGCAGUAACUCUAACUGUCCUAAGGUAGCGAAAUUCCUUGUCACAUAAGUAGUGACCUGCACGAAUGGUGUAACGAUUACCCCACUGUCUCCGACAUGGACCCGAUGAAAUUGAAUUCACCAUGAAGAUGUGGAGUACCAACGGCUAGACGGUAAGACCCCGUGCACCUUAACUAUAGCUUCGUAGUGACAACCUUAAUCGAAUAUGUAGGAUAGGUGGGAGGUGGUGACACACAAUGACCAAUCCUAAAAGACCACUCUUUCAUCUUAGGAUGCCUAACCACCACACCGAUCAUUCGGGGGGAGGCAGGACACUGCGAGGUGGGUAGUUUAUCUGGGGCGGAUGCCUCCUAAAGAGUAACGGAGGUGUGCGAAGGUAGGCUCAAGCUAAGAUUCUGCUCGUAAGCAUAAUGGUAUAAGCCUUCCUAACUGUGAGACCAACUGGUCGAACAGAGACGAAAGUCGGCCAUAGUAAUCUGGGAGUCCCAUGCGAAAGGGCUCUCACUCAACGGAUCAAAGGUACGGUUGGGAUAAUAGGAUGAUAACUCCCAAAAGCUCUUAUUGACGAAGUCGUUUGGUACCUUGAUGUCGACUCAUCACAUCCUGGGGUUGAAGAAGGUCACAAAGGUUCAGUUGUUUGCCGAUUCAAGUGGUACCUGAGUUAGGUUUAGAACGUCGUGAGACAGUUCGGUUCCUAUUUUCCAUUAGUGUUAAAGGGAGAACUAUGAGGAGCCAACCCUUGUACGAGAGGACUGGGUUGGGAUAACCUAUGGUGUACUGGUAGUUAUGCCAAUAGCAGCGCCGGGCAGCUAAGUUGGUACGGAAGAACUGCUGCACCGUGGGAAAUACUUCUCUAUUCAAGUUCUCAGAUGAGGUUUUUGAACAGAACUUCGAUAGGCGAGAGGUGUAAGCACCGCGAGGUAUAAAGCGAUCUCGUACUAAACGAAACUACUUUCACUU
rnacentral:rRNA from 1 species